GUCGAACGGAAAGGCCCUUCGGGGUACUCGAGUGGCGAACGGGUGAGUAACACGUGGGUGAUCUGCCCUGCACUUUGGGAUAAGCCUGGGAAACUGGGUCUAAUACCGAAUAGGACCGCAUGCUUCAUGGUGUGUGGUGGAAAGCUUUUGCGGUGUGGGAUGGGCCCGCGGCCUAUCAGCUUGUUGGUGAGGUAAUGGCUUACCAAGGCGACGACGGGUAGCCGGCCUGAGAGGGUGACCGGCCACACUGGGACUGAGAUACGGCCCAGACUCCUACGGGAGGCAGCAGUGGGGAAUAUUGCACAAUGGGCGCAAGCCUGAUGCAGCGACGCCGCGUGAGGGAUGACGGCCUUCGGGUUGUAAACCUCUUUCGCCAGGGACGAAGCGCAAGUGACGGUACCUGGAGAAGAAGGACCGGCCAACUACGUGCCAGCAGCCGCGGUAAUACGUAGGGUCCGAGCGUUGUCCGGAAUUACUGGGCGUAAAGAGCUCGUAGGUGGUUUGUCGCGUUGUUCGUGAAAACUCACAGCUUAACUGUGGGCGUGCGGGCGAUACGGGCAGACUUGAGUACUGCAGGGGAGACUGGAAUUCCUGGUGUAGCGGUGGAAUGCGCAGAUAUCAGGAGGAACACCGGUGGCGAAGGCGGGUCUCUGGGCAGUAACUGACGCUGAGGAGCGAAAGCGUGGGGAGCGAACAGGAUUAGAUACCCUGGUAGUCCACGCCGUAAACGGUGGGUACUAGGUGUGGGUUUCCUUCCUUGGGAUCCGUGCCGUAGCUAACGCAUUAAGUACCCCGCCUGGGGAGUACGGCCGCAAGGCUAAAACUCAAAGAAAUUGACGGGGGCCCGCACAAGCGGCGGAGCAUGUGGAUUAAU
rnacentral:rRNA from 1 species